UUCCGGUUGAUCCUGCCGGACCUGACUGCUAUCGGAUUGAUACUAAGCCAUGUGAGUCUUUGUAGCAAUACAAGGCAUACGGCUCAGUAACACGUAGUCAACCUACCUUAUAGACGGGGAUAACCUCGGGAAACUGAGAAUAAUACCCGAUAGAUCAUUAUGCCUGGAAUGGCUUAUGGUUAAAAUGAAUUUCGCUAUAGGAUGGGACUGCGGUCUAUCAGCUUGUUGGUGAGGUAAUGGCCCACCAAGGCUAUAACAGAUACGGGCUCUGAGAGGAGAGGCCCGGAGAUGGGUACUGAGACACGGACCCAGGUCCUAUGGGGCGCAGCAGGCGAGAAAACUUUGCAAUGUGCGAAAGCACGACAAGGUUAAUCCGAGUGUUUCCUGCUAAAGGAAUCUUUUGUUAGUCGUAAAACCACUAUCGAAUAAGGGGUGGGCAAGUUCUGGUGUCAGCCGCCGCGGUAAAACCAGCACCUCAAGUGGUCAGGAGGGUUAUUGGGCCUAAAGCAUCCGUAGCCUGCUUUGUAAGUUUUCGGUUAAAUCCAUAUGCUCAACAUAUGGGCUGUCGGGAAUACUGCAUAGCUAGGGAGUGGGAGAGGUAGACGGUACUCCGUAGGAAGGGGUAAAAUCCUUUGAUCUAUGGAUGACCACCUGUGGCGAAGGCGGUCUACCAGAACACGUCCGACGGUGAGGGAUGAAAGCUGGGGGAGCAAACCGGAUUAGAUACCCGGGUAGUCCCAGCUGUAAACUAUGCAAACUCAGUGAUGCAUUGGCUUGUGGCCAAUGCAGUGCCGCAGAGAAGUCGUUAAGUUUGCCGCCUGUGAAGUACGUACGCAAGUAUGAACUUAAAGGAAUUGCGGGGAGCACACAGGGUGAGCUGCGUCAUGAUCACGCGUAUCGUCG
rnacentral:rRNA from 1 species